AUGGAGGAUUGGCUCUUCUACUCGCUCACCACCAUGCUCUGCCUCCUCAGCUCGCUGCUGCUGCGGGCCCGGGCCCGCAGCCCGUCCCAUUCCGCGACGCUGACGCCGCCGCUGCCUCCAGGUCCGGUGCCGCUGCCGGUUCUGGGCCCGCUGCUCCACCUGGCGCGUCGCGACUUCGACCUGGAGCCCGUGCUGCGGCGCCUCGCGUGGGCCUACGGCCCGGUCUAUUCCUUCGCGCCAUUGGGGCUGGCGCGGCCGAUGAUAUUCGUCGCGACGCGAGGCCCGGCCCACCGCGCCCUCGUCCAGCGGGGCGCCGCCUUCGCCUCCCGCCCGCGCGCCACCGCUCCCGCCGCCGCCGUUCUCACCAGCGGCGGCCGCAACAUCAGCUCCGCACCGUAUGGGCCCACCUGGCGCGUGCUCCGUCGCACCCUCGCCUCCGGCGUGCUCAACCCGGUCCGCCUCCGCGCCUUCGCCCCCGCGCGGCGCUGGGUGCUCGACGUCCUCCUCUCCCGCAUCCGCUCCGGUGGCGGCGUCGUUGCCGUCAUGGAGCCCUUCCAGUACGCCAUGUUCUGCCUCCUGGUGUACAUGUGCUUCGGCGGCGAUCGCCUCGGCGACGCGCGCGUGAGGGACAUCGAGGCGCUGCAGCGUGACCUCCUCGCCAACUUCCUCAACUUCCAGGUCUUCUCCUUCCUCCCGCCGCUCACCAAGCUCGUCUUCCGCCGCCGGUGGACCAAGCUCGUCUCGCUGCGCCGGCGGCAGGAGGAGCUCUUCGUCCCGCUCAUCCGUGCCAGGAGGGAGGCCGGCGCUGGCGGCGACUGCUACGUGGAUUCCCUGGUGAGGCUUGCCAUCCCGGAGGAUGGAGGGAGGGGGCUCACUGACGGCGAGAUCGUCAGCCUCUGCUCUGAGUUCCUGAGCGCCGGGACCGACACCAUUGCCACGGCGCUGCAGUGGAUACUCGCGAACCUGGUCAAGAACCCGGCGAUGCGGGACAGGCUAAGGGAGGAGGUCUCCACUGCCGUCGACGGCGAGCUACGAGAGGAGGACCUACAGGGGAUGCCGUACCUCAAGGCCGUGGUGCUGGAGGGGCUGAGGCGGCACCCGCCGGGGCACUACGUGCUGCCGCACGCCGCGGCGGAGGAGACGACGCUGGACGGGUACCGCGUCCCAGCGGGCACGCCGGUAAACUUCGCGGUGGGCGACAUCGGGCUGGACGAGGAGAUCUGGAUGGCGCCGUCGGAGUUCCGGCCGGAGCGGUUCCUGCCGGGCGGCGAGGGGGAGGACGUGGACCUCACCGGCAGCAAGGAGAUCAAGAUGAUGCCGUUCGGCGCCGGCAGGAGGGUCUGCCCCGCCAUGGCGCUGGCGCUGCUGCACCUCGAGUACUUCGUGGCCAACCUGGUCAGGGAGUUCGAGUGGCGCGAGGAGGCCGGCGAGGAGGUGGACCUCACCGAGAAGCUCGAGUUCACGGUUGUCAUGAGGCGUCCGCUCAAGGCGAGGGCUGUGCCGCUGAGGCAAGGAAUGCCCAUCGCUGCCACGGGCUCAGGUUGA
rnacentral:rRNA from 1 species